rnacentral:rRNA from 1 species
UACGUAGGUGGCAAGCGUUGUCCGGAUUUACUGGGCGUAAAGGAUGCGUAGGCGGACAUUUUAAGUCAGAUGUGAAAUCCCCCGGGCUCAACCUGGGAACUGCGUUUGUGACUGUAUGACUAGAGUACGGUAGAGAGGGGUGGAAUUCCUGGUGUAGCAGUGAAAUGCGUAGAUAUCAGGAGGAACAUCGAUGGCGAAGGCAGCCCCUUGGACCUGUACUGACGCUCAUGCACGAAAGCGUGGGGAGCAAACAGG